UUUAAGAAAUAUGAAAGAAUCAAUUUAAGCAUGUUACAAAGGCGGAGGACCAAUCGUGCAAAUAAGCCAUUGAGCCUUGACAUAAAGUCCAAACGGUGCCAUUUUGCUUAUGUCAUUAGAAACAAAAAGUUUCCUAAAACACUUCUACUUCAUUUCUUUCUUUUUUUUUUUUUUUGUAAAAAAAAGGAAGCAGAAAGGGGGGUUCUUUGCUAGGGUUUCAACCCUAGCACCUUCUUGCCGCCGUCGCCGUGCCAACCACGGAGCCACCGCGUACGGCGCUCGAAACCAGUUUGUGAUCCGUUUCAGGGACACUGGAGGAGACGUGCACGACGUGCGUGGAAAGUGACAGCCACUGGCACACGCGCGAAACUGCUACUAGGGUUUCCCGAUCCUUCCUCUGCUAUUGGUUUCGGGCUACUGUUUGGGCUCAUUUGGGUUUAGUCUAGGCUUGGGUUAAUUGGCCUAUUACGUAUAUUUUAUUUCUUUUUUUUUUUUUGUCAUUUUAUUUGACAAGUUGUUACAUACAUAGUCAAUUAUAAGCAGGAAAAAAAACUCAAACUGCCAUUUCUCAGUCAUUCCUCAAAUUAAUAGUAUUGUUGGAGUAUUAAAUUGAUAGAAUUUAGAUUAAA